AUGGGGAAGUUGCACAGCAAUGCAUCCACCCCACGAGUGAGGCGUCCAGAGCCGCUGCAAGCAGCUCCAGCCUUUCUAGCACACAGUAAACCAAUGUACGGAGCAGUCCGAGGGAACAGCCGCUGCCCUCUUUCUCCUCUUGGUUUUCGCCCCGAAGCCUGGCCAGGGCUCAAGGGGAACAAAAGGCGUCGUGCUGUCAAUCUUGCUGUAGCACGGGCCUCUUUGGCAAGACUGUCUGCCCAGCCCCCCCGCGUCGGGCUUCGUCGGGUAACGAACUCAGCAGCAAAGCGCCGUGACUUCCUCUGCCCGCCCUGGAGCCGCAGCCCGCGAGCUUUCCCGCCCCCGGCCUCCCUCUCAUUGGUCAGCGCCGGCGACGCCGGCUCUCUUCUCGCUCCCCUUCCCUUCAGCUCCCUUGCGGCGUCUCUCCCCUGCCCCGUUCCCGUCCCCUGCCGUUACCUUGCAGCAUCUCCCACCAGUUUCCUUCCCUUCCCCUCCCUUGCGGCGUUUCCCCCCAGUCCCCUUCCCUUCCCGUAUCUCCCUCUGGUCUCCUUCCCUUCCCUUGCAUCAUCUCACCCCGGUUUCCUUCCCUUCUCUUCCCUUGCAGCAUCUCAUACCGGUCCCCUUCCCUUUCGUUCCAGCCUUUCCCCCUGGUCCCCUUCCCUUGUAAUGUCUCACCCUGGUUUCCUUCUCUUCCCUUCCCAUGUGGCAAAUUCUCCCAGUCCCAAUCCCAUUCCCUUCUCUUCCCUUACACGAUUUCCCCUGUCCCCCUCCCUUCCUAUACGGCAUUUCCCCACAGUUGCCUUCCCAUGCCUUCCCUUCCCUUAUGUCAUCUCUCCCAUUUCCAUCCUUUCCCUUCCCUUCCCAUGGGGUGUCUUCUCCUGGUCUCCUUUCUCUUCCAUUACCUUGUGGCAUCUCCCACCAGUUUCUUUCUCUUCCCUUCCCUUCCCGUUGCCCCUUGUGCAAGUCAUGGAAUCGUGCACCAUUAAGUUUCAUUAUUACCAUCAGAACACGCUGGAUGUGAGAGUCACCUUUUUUGCCCCGUUAGUAGGCCAUGACAGAGUUGGAUCUCCUCUGAAAGGACUCUGGGUUCCCACUGCUGCUGUGUGUGUGUCCCUGCAUGGUCCCUGCUG
rnacentral:lncRNA from 1 species